rnacentral:tRNA from 1 species
AGGAAGGUAAGCUAACAUAAGCUUGCGGGCUCAUACCCCGCCGAUGGAUCUAAUCCCUUUUCUA